UACGGGGGGGGCAAGCGUUGUUCGGAAUUACUGGGCGUAAAGCGUGCGCAGGCGGUUUUGUAAGCCAGAUGUGAAAUCCCCGGGCUUAACCUGGGAAUGGCAUUUGGGACUGCAAGGCUGGAGUUUGGCAGAGGAGACUGGAAUUCCCGGUGUAGCAGUGAAAUGCGUAGAUAUCGGGAGGAAUACCGAUGGCGAAGGCAGGUCUCUGGGCUAUAACUGACGCUCAUGCACGAAAGCGUGGGGAGCAAACAGG
rnacentral:rRNA from 1 species